GACGAACGCUGGCGGCGUGCUUAACACAUGCAAGUCGAACGGAAAGGCCUGCUUUCCCUUGUGGGUUGCGGGUACGCGCGUGUCGAACGGGUGAGUAACACGUGAGUUAUCUUCCCCCAACUUGUGUAUAAGCCUGGGAAACUGGGGCUAAUUCCCGAUAGGACUGCAGGGUGGGUCCGGUGGUGGCAGAGGAUUUUCUUGGGGUUGGGGCUGAGCUGGCGGCAGGUGAGGUUGUUGGUGGGGUAAUGGACGACCAAGGCGGGGACGGGUAGCCGGCCUGGGAGGGUGGACGGGAGAAUUGGGACUGAGACACGGCCAAGACGCCAACGGGCAGCAGCCGUGGGGAAGCAUGCGCAAGGGGCGGAAGCCUGAUGCAGCGAGGCCGCGUGGGCGACGACGGGCUUCGGGUUGUAAACUCCUUGCGACCGAGAGCAAGCCACUUGGAUGAAGCGGUGGUGACGGUAGUGGUAGAAGAAGCACCGGCUAACUACGUG
rnacentral:rRNA from 1 species